AGCCCUCUUCCCCCUCAAUAGCGCGCGAGUCUGGCGGGCGCACUGAUUUCUCCGGGAUGGGAUCGUGGCCGGAAUUCUCUCCUCCUCACAGUAUAAUGCGUGUGUGCCCCGCGCUAGCCCCAAUCCAUCCACGCCCUGAAUUGUAGGCUCGUGCGCUCACGGCCAGAGAGGAGCACCACCAGAUAUCGUCGUGAACGCGCAGCGGAUGUAGCCUCGAAUUUGUUCAUCUUGGGCGUGGAAUCUCGUCGCAGAGCUUCCCUUGGGCUUGCCGAAACGAUUUGGGGCAUCUCCGUGCGGGAUUGGCGACCGGAGCGACGGGGAUUUCUCGCCGGGGUCGCUGCAUCGCUGUUGAGCCGCGCCAAUGCGUGGGCAGAGCCACCGCCUGCCCGAAUUGAGGUAACAAAACCGCCAUCUAGUUCGCCUUUCCAGUUGCAUCGUGUAUCGCGGUCCAAAUCACGACUUCGGGCACGGGAGCGCGUAGUUGCUAGCCUCUGCCAUGGCUCCGCCGUGGAGCUCGGGCACGGCCACCGCCGUCUCCUGGCCGCGGAGUAGAAGACAAGAUUCGUGCCGUCCGAUCGGGAUUGACGGGCGUAGAUUAGAUCACGUGAGAAAGUACACCGGACCGUUGGAUUUGGAUCCAAUAGCGUGGAUUAGAUCAUGGGAUUGGGGAAAUUGGACCGUGGAUCUCAGAUCCAACCGCUCUGGUCGCGUACCGUUUCAGUUUAUGGAGGAUAUAAUCCGGGCCCUCGGUUCUGGAUCUAGCGGCCAGAAGUCACCCGUACCCCUUCGUCCGCGACAGUUUUGCACAUAAGACCCUCUGUUUUAGGAAAACGAACCCGCCGUCCAUGCAGAGGUAGUUCUGAGUCUUGGAAAUAUUUGCACCAUAGACCCUGGACUCUCUGGAAAUUGAUUCGAGGUCCAGACAGUGAAUUAUAUUCAUAAAAUCAGUUAGAAAAUGAAUUUUAGUUUUAAAUUUAUUGCAGAAACUUGAUAAAUUUAUAGAAAAUUCAUACUUGGUCCAAAUUAAUCCAUUCUAGUUUCUAAAAUUUUGUAAUAUUAUUCUCUAUCACUAAAAGUCUCUGUUUUGACAUGAAAACAGUAAGAAAAUUAAUUUCCCAUUUAAUCCUAUUUUAAGCACAUAAAACCUUUAGAAAUUCAUAUCUUAAAAUCUAUAACUCCAAAAAUAACGAUUCAUGUUCCUAGGAUUUUAUUUUAAUGUGUAGUUUACGUUUAUAUAUUUUGUUUACAUGUUUGGUGUGAUGUUAAUAUUCUCAAUACAUUGUGCUUGUUUGUAUUGUGGCGAGUAGAAGAACCUGUGACUUAGGAUCCUGGUGACCAGCAGAUAGAAGUAGCUGAGCAGGAGCUCAUUGAAGGCAAGUUGUGCCCUUGACCACUUUUUACCCAAUAAUGUUCUUUAAUACCACUUAUUCAUGCAUAGGUUUAAUUUUGAUGGGACUCGAUAGGUCACCCUAGACUGUUUAUCUCUUUACCUUGUUAUCCCGGAAUCACAUGGGUAGUUUUGCUAUUGCUUUACAUGGUUUUGGGAUAAUCUUUCAUUAUAUCCAUGUUCCAGUUAUUUUGUUAUUCUAUUUAUGUUCAUGUCAAGAUCAUUAAUGUUAAUUGGAACAUGAAGCUUAACUUGAGAAACACGUGCCGCCACAAGGGUAGUAUGGAAUGCCCUUGGCUGACUAAUUAGGAAAGCUAGUGGAAGACUAUCUUACCCAAAAGGGGCAAGGGCAGUAGGGGAGUUGCAUGCAAGAAGGUUCUCGGGUUGAUUUUGCUGCGAUGGCAGUCAGACAGGAGAUUCUUGCAAGUGCUCUUCCCAUAAACUGUAGCGGGUUUUCGGAAGCUAGUGGAACUUUGUAAAGGCCUCAUAGUGUUGCCCUGCCUCGCUUCCUUGGUAGAGGUGUAUGGGAGUCGCGAUCCCUUGGCAGAUGGGUAAUAUGACUUGUGGGUACAGGGUACAACCUCUGCAGAGUGUAAAACUUGUAUACUAGCCGUGCUCGCGGUCAUGAGUAGCUCAGGACUCUCGCAUGAUUAAUUUAUGGAACUUAAAUUCAAUUUGACAUUUGCAUGGGAUUAUUUAUUAAUUUUGUUCUAUUACUUUUAUUAUGGUUUGGUAUUUACUUACAUUUAGUAACUGCUAAUAAAAUUUUGACCAACUAAUUAAAAGCAAUGCUCAGCUUUAACCCCUGUUGUUGAUUAGCCUUACCCAUCACAUGAACUUCCACAUUUGGUGAGUUCAUGCCCACUGGUUUCCCCACAACUUGUUGAGCUAUGAUCAUGUGUGAGCUCACCCUUGCUGUCUCAGAACCCCCCACACAGGAGAAGAACAGGUGGUUCAGGAGGAGCCACAAAGCGAGGAGUUUGAUCUGAUCUAGGUGGUGUUUCCCAGUUGACUUGCGCUAAGGAUGAUCCUUAGUUCAUUUUAUAUUUAUCUUUUAUUUUGUAAUAAGACUUCCGCUAUGUAAUAAAUACUCUGAUGUUAUUGUGAUAUUUAUCUCUGUACACUCUGUUAU
rnacentral:lncRNA from 1 species